CCUACGGGAGGCAGCAGUGGGGAAUAUUGCGCAAUGGGCGAAAGCCUGACGCAGCGACGCCGCGUGAGGGAUGAAGGUCUUCGGAUCGUAAACCUCUGUCAGCAGGGAAGAACGGUCACUGUGCUAAUCAGCAGUGAAUUGACGGUACCUGCAAAGGAAGCACCGGCUAACUCCGUGCCAGCAGCCGCGGUAAUACGGAGGGUGCGAGCGUUAAUCGGAAUUACUGGGCGUAAAGCGCUCGUAGGCGGUAUGUCAAGUCAAGGGUGAAAUCCCCGCGCUCAACGUGGGAACUGCCUUUGAAACUGGCAAACUGGAGUGUGUGAGAGGAUAGUGGAAUUCCAGGUGUAGCGGUGAAAUGCGUAGAUAUCUGGAGGAACAUCAGUGGCGAAGGCGACUAUCUGGCACAUAACUGACGCUGAGGAGCGAAAGCGUGGGUAGCAAACAGGAUUAGAUACCCUAGUAGUC
rnacentral:rRNA from 1 species